rnacentral:rRNA from 1 species
GAUGAACGCUGGCGGCGUGCUUAAUACAUGCAAGUCGAGCGAAAAGACGAGGAGCUUGCUCCUCUGACGUUAGCGGAGGGCGGGUGAGUCACACGUGGAUAACCUACCUAUAAGACUGGGAUAACCUCGGGAAACCGGCGAUUAUACCGGAUAAUCUCUUGAACCGCAUGGGUCAAUAGUGAAAGUCGGCUUUGCUGUCUGUUCUAGAUGGUUACGGGCUGCAUUAGCUGGUUGGUAAGGUAACGGCUUACGAAGGCGACGAUGCGUAGACGAGUUGCGUGGCGGAUCGGCGACACUGGAACGGAGCCGCGGACCAGACGCCUACGGGAGGGCGCAGUAGGGAAUCUUCCGCAGUGGUCGAAAGCCUGACGGAGCAGCGCCGCGUGAGAUGUGAAGGUCUUCGGAUCGUAAAACUCUGUUAUUAGUUAAAAACAAAUGUGGAAGGAACUAUGCACGUCGUGACGGUACCGAAUCAGAAAGCCACGGCUAACUACGUG